rnacentral:rRNA from 1 species
UGGUCAAGUUAUUAAGGGUGCAGGGCGGAUGCCUUGGCACUAGGAGCCGAUGAAGGACGUGAUAAGCUGCGAUAAGCUUCGGGGAGUUGCACGUAAACUUUGAUCCGAAGAUUUCCGAAUGAGGAAACUCACUUAGAGUAAUGUCUAAGUAUCAUUAAGUGAAUACAUAGCUUAAUGAGGGGAACUCAGGGAACUGAAACAUCUAAGUACCUGAAGGAAGAGAAAGAAAUUCGAUUCCGUAAGUAGCGGCGAGCGAACGCGGAUUAGCCCAAACCAAUAAAGUUUUCUUUAUUGGGGUUGCGGACAUAUCAUAACGAAGAGGUAUCGUAAUUGAAGAGGUUUGGAAAGACCCACCACAGAAGGUAAUAGUCCUGUAUGUUAAAC